rnacentral:rRNA from 1 species
UACAGAGGUGGCAAGCGUUGUUCGGAAUUACUGGGCGUAAAGGGCGCGUAGGCGGUUCGUUAAGUCCUGUGUGAAAUCCCCCGGCUCAACUGUGGGCUUGCAGCCGAUACGGGCGGGCUAGAGUUCGGUAGGGGAGACUGGAAUUCCUGGUGUAGCGGUGAAAUGCGCAGAUAUCAGGAGGAACACCGGUGGCGAAGGCGGGUCUCUGGGCCGAUACUGACGCUGAGGAGCGAAAGCGUGGGGAGCGAACAGG